AAAACUUGGGUGCAAGUAGUUUAUUUGGGAAAUGAUCCCAGGAAGCACAAAUGGUGCGGGUGGGGAGGGGCGCGUGCUCAUGAGUAUGUUACUGCUGUGGGUGAAGGGUGGCUUGGUCUUGCUGAGGACCCUUGAGAGAACAUGAAGACGACCCCUCAACAUCGUACCACUCACUGAGAGAUGGGGCAGCUGAGAUAUUUACCUGCCCUCUCCCAUCUUUCAUUGAUUGAGAGUUGUCCUUCCGGGCAUAAAAUUUCAGCUAUUUUCAAAAUGCCAUGCAGGUGGGCUAAACAAGCUCCUACAGCCCCUGGAGAAAGCCACGAAGAGGAAAAGCAAAGAACGAGGAGUUUUGGGGUGGGAAGCUGUCAGUGCUGCAGGUAAACUUGGGUGACUGAAGACGAUGGGGCAGGGCAGCCACAGCACCUACUGCCAUGGUGACUUGGCCACCAUUAUAAGUAGAUGCGACCAUACAACCAAGGACAGCCAAGGGUGGACCCGAGCUCCCUCUCCGGAAAUUCUGCCUGACUUCAGAAUGGGGUGAACAGCAGGGAGAAUGAACAUUUUCUUUGCUUUCUCUCCUCCCUCCUUUCUUUUAUCUAGAUAAGCCAGCCAGUCAGCUGCCUAUGAGGAUGAGGAGAAACUGGGGCAAAGUUUAAGGAUGUCCCAAAGGCUGGGUGGCCUUCAGUCCGUGAAAGAGAACACAUCUGUUCUAUCGCAGGCCGAGGUCAUCUGCAUCCUCAUCAAUAAGCUAAGUGAGCACUCAUGACCUUCCAGACACGGUGCCUACACGCUCUAAAUGCAUGGUCUCCUUUAUUCUCAGCAACUUUCUGAGAUAAGUGCUGUUAGCAUUCCCAUUCCGCAGAGGAACAAACCAAGGCUCUGAGAAGAAGUAAUUUGCUCAAGACCUCACGGCCUGGGAUCAUGGGUGUGAAUCAUCUGGGUGAAUGAUGAGGUCAAAUCCCAAGUCCAUGUUUAUGACACUUAGAAAUAGCCAUUUACGUGUCCUUUUAAGGGUCAAAACCAUUUAGAGGUUUUAUCUGUUUCUUACAGUCUUCGAAGAAGUUUAACACAUUAUAAUAAAUAUCUCCCAGAUAGCUCAGGUCACUCAGUGAAUAUUAGUUGAAUUGCUUUUGUAUUAGAUCCUACCUGCAGCCAAAAUAUAAAUCUGACUAUGUCACCCUCCAGCUCAAAUAUCUUUCAUAGCUCCCCAUUGCCCUCCAGAGACAAUUUAAACUCGUUACUAUGGACUCUUUACUCCAAGUCCUUGAGAUCCAUCUGUGCCACCUCCCCAGCUUCCAUCCUCUGAUCCGUUCUCCCCACAGUCUCACUUCAGCCAUGCUAAGCUACCUGCCAUUCUCUCCAUGGACCCUGGGCUCUUACACUUGCUGUUCUUCUGGGAGCUCUUUUGUCCAACGCUUAUUCAUUUUGUGUGAGUUAACUCAACUGUCACCUCCCCAAAGUGGCCAACCUCCACCCCCUGUGGUCUUGCGCCAGUGCCUUCCCCUGAGUCCCACGACAUCCUGCAUUUGCUUCUCUUACAUCGUAUUAUUAUUGUUUUUUUGCCUGCCUGUCUCUCCCACAGACACGAAAGCAAGCGUUUAUGUACUUAGGUUGGAUUUGAACCUUGGCUGUGCCAUGUGUGUUCUUGGGCAAAGUCGUUUUCUCUCUCUGAGCCUUAGUUUCCUCAUCUGUGAAAUAAGCAGUGAACAAGGUUAAGUCAUGUGACACACAAUACCUGGCAUAUAGUGAGGUUCAGUGCUAGCUUUUACUCUGUAUGCAUCUUCAGGGCCUGUCUUUGGACCAAACACGCUGCUGAUGCUCAAUGAAGUGGUAGCUCUACCUGGACCAGUGGUUUUCACAUUUUCUCCUUCAUUGGAACCACCUGAGGGGUUGCUAAAACACAGGUUACUGAGUCCCAUCCCAGGAGUUUUUGAUUGUGCAGGUAUGGAGCGGGGCUUGAGAAUUUGCAUUCCUAAUAUGUUUUCAGGUGGUGCUGAGGCUGCUUGGUCCUGGGACUGUACUUUUAGAACCAUUGGGCUGGUUGCCUGGGAAGGGUAGGUGUCUGGUUAGGGUGAUCAGGUAUUCGGAGUUAAAACAAAUUCACGCUAGAGGAUAAGGCGAUCCACAAUGGGUGUGGCCACAGGAUAUUUGUUUAUCAAUGUAUCCAUUCAACCAAUAUUUGUUGAGUAUCUACCGUGUCCAGGCAUUGUGCUAGACACUGACAACAGAACAGUGAAUGAGCAAGACAAGAAGGUCCAGAUCUUGAUAAGUUCACAGUCUAGUGGCCCUGCUUUGGAAGUGGGGACCGUCAUUACACAAAUCCCCUAAGUGUGAAUUGAAGGGGCAUAGUUAGUUUGGGGAAUGGUGAGCCUUAAAAACACUGAUAUCAAUAAUGGCUUUCCUGUCUACCGCAUCAUUGUAUUGCCUUCUCAACAAUGAUUUCACCAAAAUGACUCAUUGAAACUGAUUAUGGUAUUCCCAAAUCCCCUUGCCUGGAACUGCAGCCAUCGUUCAGCACAGUUUUAGGAUGAAGUCAGCCCAUGGAACAUGGCAGAAUGGAGUGUCAGAGAACCAGAGCCAGGCUGUGAGACUUAACACCAGCUAUAUGAAAAGAUACAUUUCCUCAUUAUCGUUGUUAGCUGGAACAGAGUCUCAGAGAAUCAAAGCCAAAGAUGUUAUACAACACCUAUUAUAUGAAAUGAUAAAUACCCUUAUUGUUAUGAUUAUCUGCCAGUUCAAGUAGGGGUUUUCUGUUACUUGGUGCUAAAAUUUCCCCAUGAUAGAAUAGCUUGCCUUUCCUAAGUGCUUACAAUGUGCCAGCCACUGCAAUAAAUGUUUGGUAGGCACCAUCUCACUGCAUGCUGACAGCAACUCCACGAGUAGGCUCUAUUAUUAGCCCAUUGUUGAGGGAGGACACUCAGAGUUUAAAUCACUUGCUCUCUAUUUGGGAGUGGAGAAGAUGAGAGGUAAGGCAGGAUGGGCCAGUAAGGAUUAUUUAAAUGCACUGCAAUGACACCAACUUAAACGUUUUGCAAUCACACAAUCUUCCUUGAGCUUCUUCCAAGAUGGAGCGGAUAAGGAUGGAAACACAAACCAACCAACCUUAUCUUCGUUUGGAGGACUGAGAAUCGUAGAAGGCAACUGACUUGCCCAGUUCAGCUUUCUCGUUCUAGUUCUCCUCAUUAAACUCGACUGCUUUCUAGAAGUUAAUCAACAAAUACACUCUCAGGCUGCUUUGGCCCAGUUUCCUGAUUAGGCAAUGAGGGAAAAAGGGCUAGGCGCUGUAGAACCCCAGGUCCUGCAGCUCCCCCAUGUGGCCGUAUUUUGACAAAAGCAUGCUUUUGGGAGAGUAGCUCACGUAAGGAACCAGCCCUUCCAUGGCUGUCAUAGCAGAAGUGCAGCUGGGGGCCAUUUUGUCAAGAAGUGCUCAUUUGGAAAAACAAAACAAAACAAAAAACGAAAAAGAAAAAAUCUAUACAGGUGCAUGCCAGUCCCCCGGUGAUGAAAUGUAACAAAGGAAGCACUUAAGUUCAGUGAGGGAAAUACAGCUUAAAUUACAGAUUGUACCCAGAGCACUUUAUAAACGGUAAUGUGUGACAAUGUAUUAUCCUUACUUCUGUGAAAUUGUGAACUGCAACUUCUACCCGGGCCAGUUAAAGGGCCAGGAGAUGGAGAGGGUUGCGUGAAUACCGUUCAAGAAAAGGGCAACAGAGGCUAAGGGGUUAAACUCCCCAGCAAACCAAUUUAUGCAAAGGGCUGGAUCCUGACCGGCAUUCUGCGCUAAAGAUCUGAAUUACAAAUUUAGAGAAUUUGCUGCUCGGUAUAAGAUCUACUUGGAAUUCUCUGACAUAGGAAAUAACAUUGCCAGAUUCAGACGAUGAAUGCAGGAAGGACCUCACUGGCUGCUGGGAACAACUGCCCUUUUGAAUGAAUUCUUUUAUGGUUACCAGUCAAAAAGUCACCGUCAGCUGGAACUGGAAGGGAGGGGUGUGUGUGUGUGUGUGUGUGUGUGUGUGUGUGCAGUGGCAGCCAUUUCAGCUCAAUAGCUCCAUUCCUGGAAAGGCCACUUCUUCUUGACAUGGGAGAAGACACGCUUCCCUGUGUACCUAAAAAUAAAUAAUAAGUCAAUAAAUAAUAAUGAUAAUAAAGGCAUUUUUGCUCCCUC